rnacentral:rRNA from 1 species
CCUACGGGAGGCAGCAGUAGGGAAUCUUCCACAAUGGGCGCAAGCCUGAUGGAGCAACACCGCGUGAGUGAAGAAGGGUUUCGGCUCGUAAAGCUCUGUUGUUGGAGAAGAACGUGCGUGAGAGUAACUGUUCACGCAGUGACGGUAUCCAACCAGAAAGUCACGGCUAACUACGUGCCAGCAGCCGCGGUAAUACGUAGGUGGCAAGCGUUAUCCGGAUUUAUUGGGCGUAAAGCGAGAGCAGGCGGUUGCUUAGGUCUGAUGUGAAAGCCUUCGGCUUAACCGAAGAAGUGCAUCGGAAAUCGGGCAACUUGAGUGCAGAAGAGGACAGUGGAACUCCAUGUGUAGCGGUGGAAUGCGUAGAUAUAUGGAAGAACACCAGUGGCGAAGGCGGCUGUCUGGUCUGCAACUGACGCUGAGGCUCGAAAGCAUGGGUAGCGAACAGGAUUAGAUACCCGAGUAGUC